rnacentral:rRNA from 1 species
GACGAACGCUGGCGGCGUGCCUAAUACAUGCAAGUCGAGCGAAGCGGCGGAUGGGUGAGUAACGCGUGGGCAACCUGCCCUUAAGUCUGGGAUACCAUUUGGAACCAGAUGCUAAUACCGGAUACUAACGGAUGGACCUGCGAUGCAUUAGCCAGUUGGGAAGGUAACGGCUUACAAAGGCGAUGAUGCAUAGCCGGGUUGAGAGACUGAACGGCCACAUUGAGACUGAGACACGGCCCAAACUCCUACGGGAGGCAGCAGUAGGGAAUCUUCCACAAUGGGCGAAAGUCUGAUGGGGCAACGCCGCGUGAGUGAAGAAGGUUUUCGGAUCGUAAAGCUCUGUUGUUGGAGAAGCGGUAAUCAACCAGAAAGUCACGGCUAACUACGUGACAGUAGCCGCGGUAAUAC